rnacentral:rRNA from 1 species
GAUGAACGCUGGCGGCGUGCCUAAUACAUGCAAGUCGAGCGAAUGGAUUAAGAGCUUGCUCUUAUGAAGUUAGCGGCGGACGGGUGAGUAACACGUGUGUAACCUGCCCAUAAGACUGGGAUAACUCCAGGAAACCGGGGCUAAUACCGGAUAACAUUUUGAACCGCAUGGUUCGAAAUUGAAAGGCGGCUUCGGCUGUCAAUUCUGGAUGGACCCGCGUCGCAUUAGCUAGUUGGUGAGGUAACGGCUCGCCAAGGCAACGAUGCGUAGCCGACCUGAGAGGGUGAUCGGCCACACUGGGACUGAGACACGGCCCAGACUCCUACGGGAGGCAGCAGUAGGGAAUCUUCCGCAAUGGACGAAAGUCUGACGGAGCAACGCCGCGUGAGUGAUGAAGGCUUUCGGGUCGUAAAACUCUGUUGUUAGGGAAGAACAAGUGCUAGUUGAAUAAGCUGGCACCUUGACGGUACCUAACCAGAAAGCCACGGCUAACUACGUGCCAGCCGCCGCUGUAA